rnacentral:rRNA from 1 species
UACGGAGGGUGCGAGCGUUGUCCGGAAUCACUGGGCGUAAAGGGCGCGUAGGCGGCCUGGCAAGUCGAUGGUGAAAGCCCGUGGCUCAACCUGGGGGCUGCAUUUGAUACGUUCGGACUAGAGUGGGGAAGAGGGUCGUGGAAUUCCCAGUGUAGAGGUGAAAUUCGUAGAUAUUGGGAAGAACACCGGUGGCGAAGGCGGCGACCUGGUCCUUGACUGACGCUGAGGCGCGAAAGCGUGGGGAGCAAACAGG